UGUGUGCUUUGUGACAACGAGA
rnacentral:miRNA from 1 species